AGCGAACGCUGGCGGCAGGCCUAACACAUGCAAGUCGAACGAACCUUUCGGGGUUCGUGGCGGACGGGUGAGUAACCCGCGGGAACGUGCCCUUAGGAUCGGCAUAACUCAUGGAAACUUGUGCCAAUACCGAAUGUGCGCUUCGGGGGAAAGAUUAAUCGCCUGUAGAGCGGCCCGCGUCUGAUUAGCUAGUCGGUUGAGGUAAUGGCUCACCAAGGCGACGAUCAGUAGCUGGUCAGAGGGGAUGAUCAGCCACAAUUGUACUGUGACACGGCCCAAAACUCUGCGGGAGGCAGCAAUGGGGAAUCUUGCGCAAUGCGCGAAAGCCUGACGCAGCCAUGCCGCGUGAAUGAUGAAGGUCUUAGGAUCGUAAAAUUCUUUUACCUGGGACCAUACUGACGGUACCCGGAGAAGAAGCCCCGGCUGACUUCGUG
rnacentral:rRNA from 1 species